AUUGAACGCUGGCGGCAGGCCUAACACAUGCAAGUCGAACGAGUGGCGGACGGGUGAGUAAUGUCUGGGAAACUGCCCGAUGGAGGGGGAUAACUACUGGAAACGGUAGCUAAUACCGCAUACCAUCGGAUGUACCCAUAUGGGAUUAGCUUGUAGGUGGGGUAACGGCUCACCUAGGCGACGAUCCCUAGCUGGUCUGAGAGGAUGAUCAGCCACACUGGGACUGAGACACGGCCCAGACUCCUACGGGAGGCAGCAGUGGGGAAUAUUGCACAAUGGGCGAAAGCCUGAUGCAGCCAUGCCGCGUGUAUGAAGAAGGCCUUCGGGUUGUAAAGUACUUUCAGUCGGGAGGCGUUACCGACAGAAGAAGCACCGGCUAACUCCGUGCCAGCAGCCGCGGUAAUAC
rnacentral:rRNA from 1 species